UACGUAGGGUGCAAGCGUUAAUCGGAAUUACUGGGCGUAAAGCGUGCGCAGGCGGUUGUGCAAGACCGAUGUGAAAUCCCCGGGCUUAACCUGGGAAUGGCAUUGGUGACUGCACGGCUAGAGUGUGUCAGAGGGGGGUAGAAUUCCACGUGUAGCAGUGAAAUGCGUAGAGAUGUGGAGGAAUACCGAUGGCGAAGGCAGCCCCCUGGAAUAACACUGACGCUCAUGCACGAAAGCGUGGGGAGCAAACAGG
rnacentral:rRNA from 1 species